rnacentral:lncRNA from 1 species
ACUUAUAUUUCAUUAAAAUCUAGCCUAACAGAUCUACUAGAAACAACACCUCAUUGUUUCCUUUAAAAAGUAAAUAAGUAAAAAAUAUCACAUAGUAUUAUUAACAGUGCAAGACAAUGUGUAAACUUUUGUUCCUCAGCUCUUAAAAGCUUGCAUUCUAGAGUUACAGUGCCCGAGUUCAAAGUUCUCUAGUUACAGUACCAGGCAGUUUAAUACUCAGUAUUCUCUCUGUAAGGCACACAGUAUCAGGACACACACACACACACACACACACACACACACACACACACACACACACACAGGGUUGUGGUGGAACAGAAAGUACAGUACUUAAUUCCCAAGAGGCUAGGUGCAAUUCAUUAUGUGUAUACAUAUACACGAACUACCACUGCAUAAGCCUGAAGAUUAGGUUUUUUGUUUUGUUUUGUUGUUUUGUGAGAUAAAGCCUAGCCAUACAGUGUAUGCUGGCUGGCCUUGAACUUGUAAUCUUCCUGCCUCGGGCACCCAAGUGCUGAGACUUUCAUGCGUAUGCCACCCUGGGCAGGUACUGAGCAGGUCCUAUCAUCAGUCCUGACCUCAUGGAAAGAAACACACUGAGUGUUAAUGCUUGCCCGGUACCACAGCAUCUUACAGCUCUCAUUUCACAAUGAGCAAGGUCUAAGCCAGGCCUGGUGGCUCCUACCCAUAAUCCCAAUCCCUCGGAGGUAGAGACAGGGGAAGGGGGAGUUCAAGGCCCUUCUCAGCUCUAUGGCGAGUAUGAGGACUGUGUGCCUCACAGACCUUGUGUCAAGAACAAGCAAACGAACCCUCUAUGCCACAUUCCAUUCUCAUGACAUUCCGCACGUUAUCGCAGCCCUGUCACAGACCAGGACGUUCUCUGUAAGGCAGACUCAGGUCACUCUUUUACUGGCUUUAUGCUCUUGCACUACACGGGGGCGUUAUAAUCCUUCACUAUUGCAAAGGUUUCGACAAAGCAUUUUGUAUAUCAAGUAUGUAUUUCUUGUGUAUGUCCACAGGCUAUUUCUCAUCUUGUAUUAGCUAAAAAUAAACGAAUUGACCUUAAAAUGCUUUUUUAGAUGCUUUUACUCCCCCAGGAAAAAGGUUGUGAAGUCAGGGCUUCCAGUUCAGUGUUCUAUGGGAUUCCUGAGUGUGUGAGAAAGUGGGUCUCCGAUUCUUGUUUUCUCUCUUGGGCUCUUUCUUUCUAUUUGUUUAUUGUGUUAGUUUUUAUCAUAGCAUAUCAUAAUAUCCCUUUAAAAUAAAUUUUUUUUUAAAAAGCCAUUAAAAAAAGGUUAUGGAGUAUGAACGUUUAGCAGAAAAAUCCAAAGAAGCAGAAUAGAAUUGUCUGUAUUUAGCCCCUUUCUCCUUCUUCUGAAUAUACUGUCAAAAUAGUGUUUUACUCAUACAACACACAGCAUUUUAGAUAGGAUACUUUCAUGUUUCCACCUAUAAUAUUUUGUUAUUAUUACUUUAUCCAUUCUUUUUUUCAUAGCCACAUAGCAUUUUUCAUACUACCUUGUAUAGAUGGUUUAAAUUUUAUUUAGUUGCUCAUUUGUUAUGGCUAUUUUUUUUUGUCACCCAAAAAUAUACUAAACACUUUUACAUAGAUGAUAGCCCCAUCCAAGUACUUCUGUAGAUAAAUUUCUUGAAGUAGUUGCUAGGUGAAAACAUACACACCUUAAAAGUCUAACUGCCUUUCAAAAGGCUGUAUUCCUUUAAACCUCUAUUUCGACAUGUUCUAAACAAGGGACAUUACCAUUAAAUGAUAGGUUUUCUAACUGAUACAUCUCAAAGGUUGGGAUAUGCCAAUACACAAUAAUGGGGAUUAUCACUCCUGCCUCGUGGGUUAAGCAAAUAAUCUUGCCCAGCAUCUGCAGUCUUUCAACCAUUACUAGUGAAGCUGAUAAAUGUUUGUACUGGCCUCAGCACUAUAAAGGCGACCGACACACCAGACAGCUAAUGCAGCAGAGAUGCUGUCCCCACAUCUCACUGAUGUAUGCUGUCAGCCCUGCUGAUGUGUGUAGAUCAUAACGGUGUUUUCAAGCCCUAUGAAAUUCCUAAGUUCCUAUGACUAUUUCUAACCUUUAUGAACGUUCUUUCUGUAGCUACUCCAUUUUGAGGGUAGAAACAAUGCAAUAAACAUCAAGCCAGAGCAGUAAGAGUGGCAAUACCCUUACAAGUCCACAUGCUUUUGAUAACUAUUAAAUAAUUGUUUUAGUCCUUACGUUAAAGGUGGGUGGCCUUCUGCUAUAGACUUGGAAGCAGGUGACCAUUUCUGCAAUGUUUAGAGUGUACACAUUUUACAUAGGAAUUGCAGCUUUCCCUCAUUUGCCUUGGAUAACAGACGUCCAGUGAAUGCCCCAGGCGGCAUGUAUAAUACAGGGGCAAUACUGUGUUUCCCAGGGAGCGUCCUAGGUACUGCCUCACUAACCAGAAUCUAAUGCCAGAGAAAAUGUGGGGAAACUUGGCCAAAGUAAUUGGUAACAUUGUGUCCUAGGUUAAAUAACC